CGCUGCUGCCCCUUUCGGGGGGCGUUCCUCCCUAGACUCGGGCCGCUCGCGAGGGCGGUCUUCUUUUUCGUCCAGG
rnacentral:sRNA from 1 species